UUCGUUAAAAGAGGGCAGGUCAGUCGUAAUAAAAUCAGUCCUAGGCGUUACUCUGAGAAAAUCUAAACCAAAAGGGAAUGUAGGAGGGAAAACGACUUCUAAAUUAUAUACUUCUAAUUACAAUUUAUUUGAAAUAAAAAUUUGUACGAAUCACUUUCUUUAAAAUGAAUCAACAUUCAAAUAUCUGAAGGAAAGGAACAUGACAGGAAAAACAGAAACAUUUUAUUGGAUACAAAAAUCAUGAACGAGGAUGUUUCUAGAAGAAGGAUUUUGAACACAUCUAUGUAUUCUUUUGAGAAACAUCCUCAAUUAUGAACACAAAACACAGCGCCGAUAUGGUGAUGCUUCUUCUCUUUCAUCAAUGGAUACCACGCUCUUGAAAUUUUUCUUUCCUAUAAAAAAAACGGUAUUAGAAUAGCAGCGUUAGAUUCGUUACAUCUUCCACAAGAGUGCUACUGACCUGCCCUCUUCAAGCGAAACGUUUCGCUACAAAAUUGCGCCAAGACGUGCCAUUGAUUUAACAACGCAAAGCGUCUGCUCCCGAAUACCGAGCCAUUUAUUUCCAUAUUAUAUACGCCAGGGAUUUGGCCUUGGCAAAAUACAUAUCAAAUGCGAACCAAAAACAGUGUUUUUGCACCAAAUUGUCAUAAAUUUGCUCAUAAAGUACACUCUAAUAAGCAUUUUACAUGUAUUUGAUUGAAGCAGACUUGGCUGACUGGCUACAUUUUCAUGUUGUGAAUUUAAUGAAAAGAUUUAUCUACGAAAGAGAUGUUUACAGAUGAAAACUCGUUGGCCAAGCAGAACAUCGAUAAACUUGGAAUAAUGGAAUUACAAAGGAGGGACCAAUCUUUUUUAGUUGAGCACCUUUGAACCUUAUACAUUACAAGAUAAUAAAAUGAUGUUUUCUUUUAUAAU